CGCGUGCGAAAUUCAAGUUGCAGACCUCCAUAAACCUAGAAUUGAAGCUUUUACAUGCCAACAUCAUUUUUCUAAAUUGACUGUGGAAUUCAAGUUGCUUAGCUAUGGCGGCUGCGAAUCUCUACUCUCCCUCCCCUUCACCUUCCCUCCCCAAAACCCUCAAACAUUCUCUCAACUCAAACCCAUUUUGCCGUGUUCCGAUUCGCCCACUUAAACGCUUCUCCAAAAAUCUCUCCCUAAAAGCCGUUCUCUCGCAAAACCCCUCUAAAACCCAGACCCAAACAGCCCAGUUCCAGCAUUGCUUUUCCAAAUACUCUGAUGGGUUUCUCUACUGCGAGGGGAUUAAGGUGCAGGACAUCAUGGAAUCUGUUGAGAAGCGGCCUUUCUACCUCUACAGCAAGCCCCAGAUUACUAGAAAUGUUGAAGCUUAUAAGGAGGCUUUGGAAGGGCUGAAUUCGAUUAUUGGCUAUGCUAUUAAGGCCAACAAUAAUUUGAAAGUUUUGGAGCAUUUGAGGAAGUUGGGUUGUGGGGCGGUGCUUGUUAGUGGAAAUGAGCUUCGGUUGGCUCUUCAUGCCGGUUUUGAUCCCACCAGAUGCAUUUUUAAUGGAAAUGGUAAGCUUUUGGAGGAUUUGGUUCUAGCUGCAGAACAAGGUGUUUUUGUCAAUGUGGAUAGUGAGUUUGACUUGGAAAAUAUUGUGGCUGCUGCAAGAAUCGCUGGAAAGAAAGUUAAUGUUUUACUUCGUAUUAAUCCGGAUGUCGACCCUCAGGUACAUCCUUAUGUUGCAACCGGUAAUAAAAACUCCAAGUUCGGCAUUAGAAAUGAGAAGUUGCAGUGGUUUCUUGAUGCUGUCAAGGCGCAUCCUGAUGAGCUUAAGCUUGUCGGGGCCCAUUGCCAUCUUGGUUCCACCAUCACCAAGGUGGACAUAUUCAGAGAUGCUGCAGUACUAAUGGUCAACUACAUUGACCAGAUCAGAGAUCAAGGUUUUGAAGUUAAUUACCUCAACAUUGGAGGUGGACUUGGGAUAGAUUAUUAUCAUGCUGGCGCGGUUCUUCCUACUCCCAGAGAUCUAAUAAAUACGGUACGGGAGCUGGUCCUUUCACGAGAUCUUAAUCUAAUCAUUGAACCUGGGAGAUCACUUAUUGCCAAUACUUGCUGUUUGGUUAAUCGAGUGACGGGGGUCAAAACUAAUGGGACUAAAAACUUUAUUGUGAUUGAUGGUAGCAUGGCCGAACUGAUCCGCCCUAGUCUUUAUGAUGCUUAUCAACACAUAGAAUUGGUUGCUCCUUCAGCAUCUGAUUCCGAAAUCUCGACUUUUGAUGUGGUUGGCCCUGUCUGUGAGUCUGCAGAUUUCUUAGGGAAGGAAAGAGAACUCCCAACUCCAAACAAGGGAGCUGGUUUGGUUGUCCAUGAUGCUGGUGCUUACUGCAUGAGUAUGGCAUCUACUUACAAUCUCAAGAUGCGUCCUCCCGAGUACUGGGUUGAAGACGAUGGAUCUGUGUCCAAAAUUAGGCAUGGGGAGACAUUUGACGAUCACAUACGAUUCUUCGAAAAUCUUUGACUGGAGAUUCGCAUCCAUUCCUCUUGUUCAACUAUGGCCUUUUCCCCCAUGUAUGCUUGGCUUUUUCAACUAUUCAAUCAAGCUGUUGGCCAAAUGUCUAAAGAUUAAAAAGAAACAGAAGAACUUGUUACCAAAUUAUGGUGGAAUUGCUGUCUUGAUUAUGGAGAACUGGUAGCAGAAGAAGAAGAAUGAGAAGCCAGUGGGAAAAUUUAACAAGGAUUUUGAACUCUAUAAUGACAUACACAUGUAUGUGAGUGUAAAAUCUUGGAGUGCUUACCAAUCUACAAAUGUAAUUAGUUAGAGAUAAAUUUUAUCUUCGAGUUUUAGUAUAAUUUUUU